rnacentral:rRNA from 1 species
CCUACGGGGGGCUGCAGUGGGGAAUUUUGGACAAUGGGGGCAACCCUGAUCCAGCCAUUCCGCGUGAGUGAAGAAGGCCUUCGGGUUGUAAAGCUCUUUCGGCCGGGAAGAAAUCGCAUCUCCUAAUACGGGGUGUGGAUGACGGUACCGGAAGAAGAAGCACCGGCUAACUACGUGCCAGCAGCCGCGGUAAUACGUAGGGUACGAGCGUGGAUCGGAAUUACUGGGGGCAACGCGUUAGCAGGCGUGUGAAAUCCCCGGGCUUAACCUGGGAACUGCGUUUGUGACUGGUGGGCUUGAGUGCGGCAGAGGGGGGUGGAAUUCCACGGGUAGCAGUGAAAUGCGUAGAGAUGUGGAGGAACACCGAUGGCGAAGGCAGCCCCCUGGGUCGACACUGACGCUCAUGCACGAAAGCGUGGGGAGCAAACAGGAUUAGAUACCCGAGUAGUC